GACGAACGCUGGCGGCGUGCUUAACACAUGCGAGUCGAACGGAAAGGCCCUGCUUUUGUGGGGUGCUCGAGUGGCGAACGGGUGAGUAACACGUGAGUAACCUGCCCUUGACUUUGGGAUAACUUCAGGAAACUGGGGCUAAUACCGGAUAGGAGCUCCUGCUGCAUGGUGGGGGUUGGAAAGUUUCGGCGGUUGGGGAUGGACUCGCGGCUUAUCAGCUUGUUGGUGGGGUAGUGGCUUACCAAGGCUUUGACGGGUAGCCGGCCUGAGAGGGUGACCGGCCUCCUUGCUACUGAGAUACGACUCAGAAUCCUAAGUAAAGCAGUAGUCGGAAAUCUUACAGAGUGGGCCUUGGUCAGAUGCAGCGACGCAACGAGCGAAAUGUUGACCUUCGCGUUGUUAUCCGCUUUCUCCUGUGCUGUUGCCUGAGUGACGUUAAUGAAUCAAGAAUCGCCGGCUGACUACGUG
rnacentral:rRNA from 1 species